GGAGGUAAAGGUGAUCUUCUUGGUGUAUCUGUUAACACAUUGAUCUGCUGGGUGAAUUCUGCUGAUUCAGCUGGUAAAUGGAACCUCCUGCUCUCAGUUCUCAUUGUGUAUUCUUAUUGGUGCUCUGAGCCCAAACAGGAGUCACCCUCCCUAGACAAAGACCUGUCACUUGUCCAGGGUAUUUAGUAACCUUGCUUAUCUGCUGGAACCUCCAAAUAAGCAAUCCAGGUCCUAAUAAUUAUAGAGCUGGCACUAUUGCCCAGAUAAUUACGACAAGUGAAAAAUUUACUUGAGGAAAAUACAUUUCUACUAACU
ensembl:misc_RNA 7SK 7SK RNA